UAUUGUAGGGUAGGCUACUUUUAAUUUCAUACUUACGGUAUUGCCAUCAUUUGUCCUUGUCCAAGCGACUUAUGCUCCUCAAAUUAAAAUAAGACCUUCGAAUUACAAACUCUCCUCAGUACGUACGCAAUACAGAAAAUUUCGUGUGAAUAAAUCUCCAUUAAAACUGAUCCAUUAUUCCCGACAAAUAAUGUGGGCGAAAGGGUUCCUAAUUUUGUUCCUGGUGGGGAUGACUGUUUUUCUUCAGUGUGGCCAAUGUCAAGAAGAAGGACAACAAUGCCUGUACAAUAAUGGAGCGAGGAUGUCCUGGUCUGUGUGCAGGGCGCAAUGUAACCUGAUCCCUUCCCUGGUGGGCACAUGCACGGACGGGAUGACGUGUUGUUUCCUAGGAAGAAAAGGGGAUCCAGCUUUAACAAAAUAAUGUCUAUGAACAAUCUGAAGUUGUAUCAAUUUACGUGGAACAUAUUUCUAUGUAACAAUAUUUUUCCAUUUUUUGUAUAACAUUUUUGUCAUGUUUCACAAAGGAAUUAACAAAAAUGGGGGAUAUUCAUUAGGAGUUCUCAUGUUUAUGUAUAUUAAUAUUGUAACCUAAUUGUGAACAAA